GCCAGGCACAGUGGUGCAUGCCUGUAAUCCCAGUGGCUUGGGAGGCUGAGGCAGGAGGAUCGUGAGUUUAAAGCCAGCCUCAGCAACCACAAGGCUCUAAGCAAUUCAGUGAGACCCUGUCUCUA
rnacentral:sRNA from 1 species